AUGUGUUGGUGAGGCAGCUGGCGGCUUUUACUACAAGGAGCACCUCCCGAAGCUUGGCAAGCCAGCAGAGCUACAGCGCAGGGUGAGUGCUGAUGGCCAGCCCUUCCAGCGUGGGGACAAGGUCAAGUGUCUGCUGGACACAGAUGUCCUAAGGGACAUGCAAGAAGGCCAUGGUGGCUGGAACCCUAGGAUGGCAGAGGUGAGCCACCUCUUCUGCUGACUCCCCUUGUGCUCCCCUUCCCAAGUCCUUUGGACCCCUAUCCCUCUUCCUGCCCCAAGAGUCCAGCCUGACCCAGCCAUAGCCUCCGUGACCCGCCACAGUUUAUCGGACAGAUGGGCACCGUGCACCGCAUCACAGACCGUGGGGACGUGCGUGUGCAGUUCAACCAUGAAACCCGCUGGACCUUCCACCCUGGGGCUCUCACCAAGGUGCCUAGGGGGCCGGGCUGAGCCCCACUUAUUAUUGCUUCUCUAAUUCCUUCCAUGUACCUAUUCAGUCUUGGGAGUGGUUAGGCAGGACUAGGCACCAGUCUCCCCAUGAGCUUGCAGACUUGAAGGAAGGGGAAAACCUGAUGUGUGGAAGUAAGACCAGAAGGGACACAGAUGUGAGGGAUACAGAGAAGAAUGAAACACAGACGUCUGAGACUAGAACCUGUGGGCCAGGGGCUCAGUCCUGAGAACAGAGGAGUAUGGCAGACUAGACGUGGGGUUGCUUGCCAUACUCCUGAGGAGCUGUUUGCACCACGAGACAGAUGGAGUGGUCUGUAAGGAAACUGCAGUGGAGGCCAACGGUAUUGGAGACUAGUUGGAUAGAGUCUGUGAAAGCUGUUUGGAACACUGGACUGUGGAGAUGAGACAUGACAGA
rnacentral:lncRNA from 1 species